AUUGAACGCUGGCGGCAUGCCUUACACAUGCAAGUCGAACGGCAGCACGGGAGCAAUCCUGGUGGCGAGUGGCGAACGGGUGAGUAAAGUAUCGGAACGUGCCCAGUCGUGGGGGAUAACGUAGCGAAAGUUACGCUAAUACCGCAUACGAUCUAUGGAUGAAAGCGGGGGAUCGCAAGACCUCGCGCGAUUGGAGCGGCCGAUAUCAGAUUAGGUAGUUGGUGGGGUAAAGGCUCACCAAGCCGACGAUCUGUAGCUGGUCUGAGAGGACGACCAGCCACACUGGGACUGAGACACGGCCCAGACUCCUACGGGAGGCAGCAGUGGGGAAGUUUGGACAAUGGGCGAAAGCCUGAUCCAGCCAUGCCGCGUGCAGGAUGAAGGCCUUCGGGUUGUAAACCGCUUUUGUACGGAACGAAAAGGUUUGGCCUAAUAAGCUGAGCUCAUGACGGUACCGUAAGAAUAAGCACCGGCUAACUACGUGCCAGCCGCCGCGGUAA
rnacentral:rRNA from 1 species